AGCAGAUUCGUUCGGUGGUGGAUCGCCUCCUCUAUCUCAGCGUCAACGAGGAUCCCCUGAGACGGCCGCCUGUAGCAGUCCCCCAAGGUAAAGGAAAAGAAGAAGCUGCAUUCUUUGUACCUUCUCGCCAAUCGCAUCUUGAAUUAGUAUUGUGUCAGCAGAUGUAUCGAACACUACCUGUCCACCUUUCAUUUCUGUGUCAAAGAAUGCCAUGUCUUGCCUCAAAACCGACCUGAGAUACAAA